ensembl:processed_transcript Gm2822 predicted gene 2822
GUUUGUGUCCUGGAUUUCACUACCCGGGGUUGCGCCUCCAGCAGCUAGGAGGAAAGAACACUUUCUCCUCGCCAGUGGGCGCUCGGAUGCUUGCGGACAUGACUGAUCGCGCCGCGUACCGCCGGCACACAGUGGAUGGCGCUGCCCAAAACCUACCCGGACUGUCCCUGCCGCGAGUCCACUCGGAACACCAGCUUUGCAGCCUCGGAGCCCAGUUUUGUAUUUAGGAAUCUGACAGAAAUUGUCAGUCCUUUGUGGGGUUGAUGAAUUCGUCUUCUCUGCACUGAAUCACCUACACAUCUCCUGCCCGUGGGAAUUGCUGGUCCAACUUGCAACUGUUGAAAGAGACAAAUGACUUCACUUUAUACUAUAUGCCUUUAGCUCGGUGACAAUGAAUCUAUGUCUGGACUCCUCCGUGAAGACUGCUGAACAACUCCACCUUGAUCGUAGAAGGUGAUAGGCAAUAGACAUAUUAGACAGUGAUUAAUUCAAUAGCUAGUGAUUAAUUCAGACCCUCAAAACUGGUGAAAGUCCUGAGAAUAAAUAGGGCUGAGCAUGGGACACUGGUAUGAACACCCGUAAGAUGCUGUCUUCCGAACAUAAUAUGGCUGACCUGGCUGUUCAUUCAUGAAUUCACAGCAAGACCUACACACGAUGGAGCCUGUCAAUCAAUAUUCUAGCAUACCAGGGCAGGAAGGGCGUAUGAGCCAGUAGUGAGGAGAUUAUUGGAAAUGAAUGGCUGCUGAGAGAUGCCAUCUAUUUUCUUCCAGUAAAGAGCCUAACACCCAUGCUCAUGUUUGAAACCCUAAUUAAACUCAGUGAGUCACUGUCUUAAUCAGGGUUUCUAUUCCUGCACAAACAUCAUGACCAAGAAGCAAGUUGGGGAGGAAAAGGUUUAUUCAGCUUACACUUCCAUACUGCUGUUCAUCACCAAGGANNNNNNNNNNNNNNNNNNNNNNNNNNNNNNNNNNNNNNNNNNNNNNGAGGCCAUGGAGGGAUGUUCUUUACUGGCUUGCUUCCCCUGGCUUGCUCAGCCUGCUCUCUUAUAGAACCAAGACUACAAGCCCAGAGAUGAUCCCACCCACAAGGGACCCCUUGAUCACUAAUUGAGAGAAUGCCUUACAAAUGUAUCUCAUGGAGGCAUUUCCUCAACUGAAGCUCCUUUCUCUGUGAUAACUCCAGCUGUGUCAAGUUGACACAAAACUAGCCAGUACAGUCACUAAAAGAAAAGAAACCAAGAUCACAAACUAAAGCCUGGAUAUGCUCAGUUCAGAUUUUUGAGAGCCUGAGGUGAGACAGCUCUGGUAGUAAAGGCACUUUCUGCUAAGGCCAAUGAGUUUGAUCCUAAGAGCCUACAUGGUGGAAGGAGAGAACUGACUGCCAGGAGUUAUGCUCUGACCUUCACAAGUGUGCUGUGUCAUGCUCAGACACAAACACACAUACAUAAUAAAAUAAACCAAUCCAGAUUCAAAACAGAGAUUGCUGAACAAAGACUGAAACCCCCCAUCUCAUCCUACCCUGUCCAGGUGUAUAUUUAGUCUUGUUAUGAAAGACAAAAACAAACAAGCAAAAAACCAAAACCUGAUUGGUCUUAUAUAUGCUGAAUAUAUAUUACCUUUGUAAAUUUAAAAAGAGGUAACUUUACUUCUUAUACCUCCAAAUGUUGUGGAAUCGUCCUGCUUGUCUAUGAUGAGGGUUGCCAACGUUUGCCUAUAUACUUUAAUACAAGAGGCAGAUGGAAAAGAAAUUCUAGUCUUGUCCACCAUGAUGGUAAAGCUGGAAUCCUGCAACAAAGUUUGCCCAUCCUUAAAUUAUGCAUCUUUCGACUUCCAUGGAAAUCACAAACAGAAAUUUGCUACAUCUAGACUUCAACAACAACCAGUGUACUAACAAGCCGAGUGACUUGAAGCUCAGUAUUUAAUUCCCCUCUGCUCACGGGCAAAAUGGAAAUCUUGAUGGUUGUCUUGCAGAGUUGAUACAAGGACUUGAAAUGAUAUAUUCAGGUACUCAAGUGGUGCCCAGUAUAGAAAAGAUGGACCUCAGGGACUUGAGAGAUGGCUCAGCAGUUAACAGCCCACACUGCCCUUGCAGAAUUACCAGAGUCCAUAGCUCAGCACCCACAUCAGGCAGCUCACAAUGUCUUGUAACUCAAGAAGAUCCACUGCCUAUUCUGGCCUCCACAGGCAACUGCAUUCACAUGCACGUACCCACACACAGGCAUAAACACACCCGCACAUAAUUAAAAAUAAAAUAUUUGUAAAAGAAGCUACCUUUGAAAACAAAAUCACACUAGCUUUCUUCAGCAUUUUCCCAAGUCCUCUAUGAGCCACAGAUGAUAAUUUCCAUUAACGUAAAAGGAUCAAAGAUCCACAUAUCAGAAGCCACAAGGGCAGCCUUUGUAGAUGUCGUGUAAAGGGACUGCUGGCCAUCUAUCAGGCCUUUGGGAUCACACACACACACACACACACAAAAAAAAAACAGUUCAACAAUUCCUACCCUCUCCAUCCCCCUAAAUCCAGUAGUGCUUUCUUCCCCCUCCUGGUCAGCCUUCUCUCUGUUUCUCAAACAUACUCUUUUCUACUUCAGGGCCUUUGCAGACUCCUGCCAGGACUGUGCUUGCCCAAGCUCCUUACACAGCCUUCUCCAUCAGUGCUACCCCACAGCCUUCCUAUAAGUAGUCCCUGGCCUCUGCUGUGAGGUUUCAUACCACGCUACUCCUGAACUGCUCUGUUAUCUUCAUAGCACUUAACACCUACUUAGAUUUUUUGUUUGUUUGUUUGGUUGGUUGGUUGGUUUGGUUUUGGUUUUUAUUUUGUAGGAUGGGGGUUGGUUUUUGGGUUUGUUUGGAGUUUUUUGUUGUUUGUUUGUUUGUUUGUUUGUUUUCUACCAGUAAAAUAUUGAGUAAGACUCAAUAAAGAGGUUCCACCUUU